AACUAAAAUAUAAACCAAUAUAUGGCUUCACUUCUAGCUACAAUUAAUCAGGGUCGGCUCAAAAUAAUAAAGGACCCAGAGCUGAAAAAAAAAUUAGUUCUCAUUUCCUAUGUUUUGUUAUGUAAAUCUUUUUUUUGGAUCGUAAUUGUAUUAGAUUUACUUCAAAAAAAAGAGAAAUUUUGGGUUGACUCUGUGCCUCGCUCCUCCGGCACAUGUGUAGAGCCGGACCUGCAAUUAAUAGAAACA
rnacentral:sRNA from 1 species